AUGCUCUCUUUCCAUUCCCUUUUCUUUCUAUCCUACAGAAUUCCCAUUUUCUUCACAAAACUGCAAAGAUGGGUCAGCAACAACUGCCUGAUAUCAGUAUCAUUACAAAAAAAAUUGUUUUCAACUCUUCCAGAACUCUUGUCUCAGGACUGGAAGUUUUUUUACUCAUGCUUGGAGAUCUGCUGUUUUCAACAGGAUCAUAAGAAAAACAAUUUUUCAGUAAAGGCAGGCAGGAAGGAAGGAACUACCGGAAGCAGAGCCAUUAAGGACUUUUUUUUCCCCCUUCUCCUCAAAAUAGCCCUAGGGAAACAGCAGCUGAGCGAAGGAAUCAAUUUCAAGAAGUUUUCAGGAGUUUGCAUGGAAAUCGAUCAGUUAUGACUGUAUGUACUUGUCAAUUUUUUGGUACAAUUUCCUGAAAUAAAAUGCAAAAGCAUAGUCA
rnacentral:lncRNA from 1 species